UACGUAGGGUGCAAGCGUUGUCCGGAUUUAUUGGGCGUAAAGAGCGUGUAGGCGGCCAGGUAGGUCCGUUGUGAAAACUGGAGGCUUAACCUCCAGCUGUCGAUGGAAACCAUCUGGCUAGAGUCCGGAAGAGGAGAGUGGAAUUCCUGGUGUAGCGGUGAAAUGCGCAGAUAUCAGGAAGAACACCCGUGGCGAAGGCGGCUCUCUGGGACGGUACUGACGCUGAGACGCGAAAGCGUGGGGAGCGAACAGG
rnacentral:rRNA from 1 species